rnacentral:lncRNA from 1 species
ACCACUAUAGGUGAUUCCGCUCGUGUGCAAACAUACUUGUUGAGCUAUAGAUUCAGUUGUACAGGCCACUUUAGGUGAAUCCGGCUAAUAUGUUAUUUCUCAUGAGUUAGUUCGCCUGAGUUACUUAUUCUGUCAUUUUGAGAUAUUUGGCAUGGCAUACUUAUGAAUAUCGUUUUCUGAGCAUGGUUUUGUGAUAUUAUAUAUAUUCUAUUUUCUGGGAAAUUAUACAUGUUUUACAGCGAGAUGUUAGAACUUUUGAUAAAUGAAAUGGUUUUGAAAAUCUUUAUUUUUGCCCAUUCACACUUUCUGUUUUGCGCCCCUCCAGGUUUUAGGUAGGAGUGCUCUUUGGUGGCUCAGGAGGAUUUGACGGUGGUUCUGACAGAUCAUCACAAUUGUAGGACCAUCUUUAGUAUUGUAUAAUUAGUAUUCGUCCUACUGUACUGCACUUAGGCUACUUAUGCUCUAGUUGUGUGAUCACACUUUAUAUCGCACUUACACCUUAUCUUAUCUAGUGCUCUAGUUGGUUUGGUUUUUAUUUAUUCACAUCUCUUAUAUUAAUAUUGCUUAUGCACUGUGCACAUGGCUACGUCACCCUCACGUGACGGUCAACAUACCUCCAUCGAGGUCGAGGUGUGUCAGUUCCAAUUAGGACUUAACAUAUUUGGUCCACAUCCAAAACUUAAACCACACAACGCUCAAGGGUAAAAUAGACAUUUCACACCAUUGAUAAAAUAUUUCGGGAUGGGCUGUCACAUAAGGUGGUAUAGAAAUGUGGUAUAAAAACAUGGGUAUGAAUAGCAUUACUCGUGGGCAGCCACAUCAUUUGAAUUAAUCAGAUUUUAAAUUUAGUUCAUUAUUUAAUAAACUAAUAAUUAAGAAGAACUAGUUAAUUAAAUGAUGAUUGUGAUAUACAAUGAGUCUUUCUCUUUUAUUUCCUUGGGUUUUGCAAAAUUUUCAAAUGAUGUGACUGUCCACAUCAAAUGCCACCUAAGGUGAUAUAGAAAUACGUUAUAAAAACAUGGUAUGAAUAACAUUACUCAUAUAAAUGUGAUAUAAAAACAUGGUAAGUAUAUCAUUAUUGUUAAUUCCCUAGAGGCUCAGGACCAUUCCACUGGAUAUUCACCUCCUGACUUCUCACUUUGUUAGCAUUCAAUUUCGCCAUACUGGAGAGAAGAGAAGUUUGUUACUGAUGCUCUUGUCACCUAUAGUCAUUUAUCAAUUCAGAUUAUGUUUGGUUUCACUCUUGUCCUACCCUUGUUACGCAGGCUUUAUGUUUUUACUCUUCUUGUACUGGAUGCCCACGGAGUUUGUCGUUUAACUAAUUUCAUUAUUUCAAAAAACAAUUGGGGAAGAAUAAGUUUAAUGGGCACUCUUUUGUACAAAAGAACCUCUAACAAGGGCACCAAAGAAAAAGAACGUUUUCUUUGAUGCUUAUUUUGGUAGUGCACUAAAUACUCUUUAUAAACCAAAAUAAAAAUAUACAUCCACGUUGUACAUAAAGUAGAGAACAUUUAGACAAAAAAUAUAUAAAAUAUAUAUAUAUAUAUAUAUAUAUAUAUAUAUAUAUAUAUAUAAAGUAGCAGAAAAUACACUUAUUUAAGUGAAGGGUUGUUGGCACAAUUAUACACACUAUGGUGGUUGAGAAUUCUAUGUUAUGUAUAAAGUUAGAAACACAGACAUGUUACAUAUAACCACGUUUGAUGGGAAGGGUCCGUAGGGAGGAUUAGCAUGUCGAUUUUUGUUGCUUCCUUGGAUUAAGUAUUUUCCCCUUUGUGGCCAAACGAUAAGGGAUUGUUAGGUUACGCAAUGGAUGCAGGCAGUGAGGGAGGCGUUGUCAGCUUGUGUUGAGGAGGGCUGCAAUAGGGUGAUAAUAGAAUCUUAUUCAAGCAAUUUAAUUUCAAUGCUUAAGGGUGAGAAGGAUGCUGAUAUUAUGAUUGAUUGGCAUUUUCAAUGGAUAGCAUAAAUUUUUUUUUUUUUGCUAAAUGGAGAGAAUAGAUAACAUCAAAUUAAUCAAUGAUAGACAUUGUGAAGUAUCUCAAGUAAGAAUGGACGGAGCCAAUGAAGGCUCACUGG